rnacentral:rRNA from 1 species
GACGAACGCUGGCGGCGUGCUUAACACAUGCAAGUCGAACGGAAAGGCCCUGCUUUUGUGGGGUGCUCGAGUGGCGAACGGGUGAGUAACACGUGAGUAACCUGCCCUUGACUUUGGGAUAACUUCAGGAAACUGGGGCUAAUACCGGAUAGGAGCUCCUGCUGCAUGGUGGGGGUUGGAAAGUUUCGGCGGUUGGGGAUGGACUCGCGGCUUAUCAGCUUGUUGGUGGGGUAGUGGCUUACCAAGGCUUUGACGGGUAGCCGGCCUGAGAGGGUGACCGGCCACAUUGGGACUGAGAUACGGCCCAGACUCCUACGGGAGGCAGAAGUGGGGAAUAUUGAACAAUGGGCGGAAGCCUGAUGCAGCAACGCAGCGUGCGGGAUGACGGCAUUCGGGUUGUAAACCGCUUUCGCCUGUGACGAAGCGUGAGUGACGGUAAUGGGUAAAGAAGCACCGGCUAACUACGUG